rnacentral:lncRNA from 1 species
UGGAGUAAGCUUAUUGAUAACUCAUUAUAUAUCAGUGGUGGUAACAUAUUGAGUCAAAAGAAUCAGCCGCAUAAUAUAAGAGGAGGCCCAGUACUUUAUUCUUAAAACUCAAAACUCACAUUUCUUCUCUAUAACAUUUAAAGAUUCCAUCAACCCAAUGCAAAUUCUUUUUCUCUUCACCAUAGUCAAAAACAUAUCAAGCACUUAAAGGGGCUAUCUUUUCAAAAUUGUGAUUUAAAAAACUCACAAAAUCAGAAUUGCUAGUUUUGUGAUAGCAUUACUUAAAGGAAGAUGGGCAAGGAGGGUGUUGCAACCAGAGUUUUAGCAGGAGGCAUUACAUCACAGUAAGCUGCGUCACGGGUGUCAUUUGUGAUGAUUUGAAACCAUAGAAACAAAUCAAAGCUACAGCUCAUGUUUGCAUUGAGCUAAGAUUGCAGGCGCGUGAACUGUUCACACCACCAAAAAUGAGUAAUUUCACUGCUGUAGAAAGAAGACUAGUGACAAAGAUGGAACAGUGAGAAAAGCACCACAUCAGAACUCUGUGAAUCUCUUGCUACUAAUUUUGCUCAAGUACCCAUCCCUUUAGCAUACCACCUAUGUUUAAGGAAAUGGCUCCAUCCCCAACUCAGGCAAAUGUAUUCUGAUUAUUUUAAGCCAUUUAUCUUAGUUCCAUGGUAUCCUUUUUAGGCCAAAGAGAUAUGAGGAGGGGUUGGAUGAAGGCUUCUGGAAAAAUUUCUCCACUUUUAAGUAGGUAACACUGAAAAAUCAGACCUUUUCAGCUUCUCCACUUCAUUCUGUCUGGAUGUGAUACCUAGAAAUGCUACCAGCUGAGGAAGAAGCCAAAAUGUGGAGAAGGACAGAAUCAAGAGAAUUGCAAAGAAGCUGAGUUGGAAUCCUGACAAACCACGCUGGAGUGGCCCUACCUCCGUUGUUUCAGGCAUUUUGAGUCAGGGCUUUCUGGUACUUACAGUCAAAGGCAUCUAAAUGACAGUCUCCAAAAUUCACCAUAGCAUUGUCUCUGUGAGAUAGAGGAAAAGAUGAAGAUGUGAAAAAUGGAGCACAGAAAGAUUACAAUAUUGACCAAGAUCAUGAAUCUAGAAAGUGUCAUAGUCAGGACUUAAGUCUAAGUCCUCUGAUCUAGUGCUCUUUCCAUCAAAUGACAGCUAGAGGUUGGAGCAAACCUAUGAGUUAUGAGAGAAGUAGGAAGGCAGCUCCAGACCACUUGCAAGGAAACUGGGAUCUGCUCUGGGUUGUGUCAUCCACCAGCUGUGAAAACUUAGCUGAGUCAUUUUUAUUUCUCUGAGCCACAAUUUCAAGGAACUACACUAGACAAUCUAUUAUGUGCUUCCGAUUCUAACAUCCUAUGGCUCUGUAACUGAGAAUGCUUAUGCAAAUAAGGUACAAAUCAUGCUUUAUAUAAACUAUGAGUCUUCCCCGGUGACUACCGGAGAAACCCACUGUGUAUAUUCUGCUGGGGUUCUAUUUUAGCUUCCACAUUCAUGUCCCAUGAACACCUGUGAAAAUGUCAGCAGUUAACAGAUGAGUUGAACAUCAACUUAAACUAGCUUUAUAACCCAAGUCACGGGCUUCUCAUUUGCAGAAUAAUUUUACUCUAGAGCUGCAAAAAUCAUUCGUUGAUGAGCUAAUUUUGUCACUGUGAUUCUUAGAACACAUUUAAAUGGGCAUAAAAAGGCAGUCUUACAGAGUCUUCAAGAUGCUUAUUUAUUAUACACUCGAAUGGCAAGUUUCCACAAUUAAUUGUCCUAUGACUGAUUUCCCUUCACUAUUUUAAUGAAGCAUGUGAUAUUUGCUACCUCAAUAGGUUUAGGUUUGCAAAUUUAGCACUAGAGGAGCUAUUUUCCCCUAAGCAAUUUGUCAGCAGUUUGAGAAAAUUGUCAUCAGGGAAACCAUGUACUUUGGCUGCAGUUUCACAGUCCAAAAGCUUGUCUUCACACAGACAAAUUAUUAAGUCAAAGAAAAUGUAGCACAGCAUCACUUAAAUCUCUGAACUAGAAACUAGUCUAUGUUAGAAAGCACAAAAUGAUACUAGCAGAGAAAUUGUAAAGUAUAAAAUAAUGCUUUAUGAAGAAUUUUAAGCACUGGCUGACUAGAAAUAUUAGGGGUUAUGGCUA